UACGUAGGGGGCAAGCGUUGUUCGGAAUUACUGGGCGUAAAGGGCGCGUAGGCGGCUCGGCAAGUCGGGAGUGAAAGCCCGGGGCUCAACCCCGGAACGGCUCUCGAAACUGCCGGGCUCGAGUGCGGAAGAGGCAACCGGAAUUCCCAGUGUAGCGGUGAAAUGCGUAGAUAUUGGGAAGAACACCUGAGGCGAAGGCGGGUUGCUGGGCCGACACUGACGCUGAGGCGCGAAAGUCAGGGGAGCGAACGGG
rnacentral:rRNA from 1 species